AGUGAACGCUGGCGGUAGGCCUAACACAUGCAAGUCGAACGGCAGCACAGAGGAGCUUGCUCCUUGGGUGGCGGGUGGCGGACGGGUGAGGAAUACAUCGGAAUCUACUUUUUCGUGGGGGAUAACGUAGGGAAACUUACGCUAAUACCGCAUACGACCUACGGGUGAAAGCAGGGGACCUUCGGGCCUUGCGCGAUUGAAUGAGCCGAUGUCGGAUUAGCUAGUUGGCGGGGUAAAGGCCCACCAAGGCGACGAUCCGUAGCUGGUCUGAGAGGAUGAUCAGCCACACGGGAACUGAGACACGGUCCAGACGCCUACGGGAGGCAGCAGUGGGGAAUAGUGGACAAUGGGCGCAAGCCUGAUCCAGCCAUACCGCGUGGGUGAAGAAGGCCUUCGGGUUGUAAAGCCCUUUUGUUGGGAAAGAAAUCCAGCUGGCUAAUACCCGGUUGGGAUGACGGUACCCAAAGAAUAAGCACCGGCUAACUUCGUGCCAGCAGCAGCCGCAG
rnacentral:rRNA from 1 species